AUGCCCAUAUUAUGCAAGAUGAAACAGAGAUUAUCUAGACAAAGAUAUUGGCAAAUUCUUUGUAGGGAAAAAUCAGCACCGGUUAAGAAACACUAUUCCAGAGGAAAUAGAAGUGAUGUGGAGAGGGGAUAUUUUAAAAAUACCUAUGACUGGGGAUAUAGCUCAGCAGCACAAGUGCCUGCCUGGCAAGCACAAGGUCCUGAAUUUGAUUUCUGGUACAAAAAAAAAAAAAAAAAGUAUUAAAAGUAUCUAAAGUAGUAUUCCAGAAAUAUUAGAGCAAUUAUACUUUCUAAAAUAAGAAUUUUCUGCUAUGAAAAAUGGAAGAAUAGAUGUACAGAAAUAAUUCAUGAAAUAUUUCUUUAAAUUUUGAAAAAUUCUAAAGAAUUCAAGGAUAACUUCCAGGAGAAAAGGAAAAAAACUGUAAAGUAUAAGGGAAGUAAAGAAACAAAGAGAAUCUACCAAGGAAGGCCUAGUUUUGUCUGCCAAAGAUUCUAAAACCAGAGAAAGGGAUGGACAAAUGAGACAAAAUCAUCUUGAGUUGAGUUGAAUUUUCUAGAGUUGAAGAAAGGCACAUUUUCAAAAUGAAAGUGUGCAAAUAAUUUUGAGAACAAUGAGUUUUAAAAAGACCAGCAUCCGACAUAUCCUAAUGAAAUUUGAGACCACCAAAACUAAAGAGAAGAUGCAAAACUUUUUAAAGAAGAAACCCAUAAACUUUGUAUGAUAGGCAUGAAAAUUUCACUUAGAUUUUUAAUUAGCAUCCCAAAUUCCACUUGACAGUGAAAUAAUACCUUAAAAAUCCAGAUGGAAAACAAACAUAAUAAAGAUGGUCCCUGACUUAUGAUAAUUCCAUGGUGCAAAAUCGAUAAGCGUUCAGUAGAGACAAUUUGCACUGUGGCCCUCUGGUGAACUACUUUAGUGUAUGAUCCUUUCUCUUGGGAGGCUUGGUGGUGGCAGUGAUUGGUAGUUGGCAGUUAGACUCAACAUCAGGAGUGGAAACAGCUCAGACUCAGCAGUUUACCAUGUUGCUCAACUAGGAUGUUCAGUAGCUUAAGUAUAUUAAAUGUAUUUUCAACAUAACAAUAUUUCAACUUAUAGACGUACCAGUUAAGUCAAGGAAAAUCUGUACCAUAUGGAAUAGAACAGGGAACACACAAAUAAAAUCAAAUAAAUACAUGCUCAAGAGAUUUUUGAAAAAGUUACAGAAGCCAUUUAAUAGCAGGAAGAUUUCCUUUUCAGAAAAUGCUUGUCCAGUGGCAACAAAAAGUUUCACUUAAGUUUGAAGUCUUUUGCAAAAGUCAACUCAAAAAAGUCUCAGGUCUUACACAAAAGUCAACUCAAAGUAGAUCAUGGUCUUAAAUGUAAAAUAUAAAAAUAUAAAAAGAAUUGUAGAAAAAAGCAGGAGAAAUAAUUUAUUUAGGUCCAAAGAAUUCCUGUGCUUGGCAUUGGUAGCAUAAUGUAUAUAUGAAAAAACUGAUUAAGUGGACUUCAUAAAUAUUAAAUAAAGCCUUUCAUUUUCCAAAAGACCUUUCAAAAAGAUAAAAAGAUAAAUUACAGCUUGGGAGAAAAUAUUUUUAAAUCACAAUAAUUGACCUAGAACUAAUAUUUCAAAACCAGAAGUUAAAAUAACAACAAUAAAUCCAGAAAAUGGACAAAAGAAAUAUUUCACAAAGAAUGAUCUACAAGUGGUAAAAAUUGCAUGAAAAGAAGUUCAUAAUUACUAACCAUUGGGGAAAUGUAAGUUAAAAUCAUAAUGAAAUAUUGUUAUACACCUAUUAGAAUGACUAAAAUAAAAACAUAGUGACAAAACCAAGUAUUUACAAAGAUACAGAGAAACUGGAUCACUUAUACAUUGCUGGUGGAAAAGUACAGUGGUACAACCACUCUGGAAAACAGUUUGACAAUUUCAUUUUUUCAUCAUUGUCUUUCUGGUAGGCACAAAUAGAUGAAGGAUCUGAGAUUUUCUUAAAUUAAUGUAUUUAUCUUCUGUAAUGAUGAAUUCAAACCAACUCCUAGAAUUUUUUUUAAAUUGGAGCUUGAAAAAAUGCUCACAUAUUUACUAGAAAUAAAUGCUAAUUUUCUGGCAAAAGAAUAUACUGGAGGACCACAACUUGUUUUCAAAAGAUAAUGUGAAAGUAUAAUACUUAGGGGGGUGUGUUAUACCAAACAAAGAAUAGAGAGAUAAAACAAUAGGUGAAUAAGAAGAUAAAAAAGACUUCUCCAUAUGAGACCUGUGUAUAAUAUGUGUAUAAUACUAUGUUAAUUUAUGUAUUAUAUAAUAUAGUGUGAUUAAAAAGUAAUAAAAUAGACUAUAUUAUAUGGUGUUAUAUAAUAGAAAGGAAAAAUGAUUAUGAUGUUAGAGUAUCUGAUUACUAUUUGGAAAAUGAUAAACUUAGCACUUUUGCUUUGCCAUAUGCCAUAAUAAAUUUCAUAUGUAUUUAAGGGUUAAAUCCACCCUUCCAGAAAAAAAACUACAAACUAUAUACAUGCACACACAAAUAUAACACAGAUGUACACACAAAGAGGUGUCUUGAGGUAAAUAAAAUGAUACAGUGGAAGAAGUCUUUCUAAGCAUUAAAAUAUAAGGCAAAUAUAAAGAGAUAUAUUAGCAGAAUUGCUAUAUAAAUGAUAAAUUUUUAUGUUGAAAAACCACUAAUAUAUUAAAUGUUUAUAGUAAAGAUUAUAUCAUGUAUAAUAUGAUAGAUGUUUAAUAUAUCUAAUAUAUACUCUAAUAAAUAGCAAAAAUGAAUUACCUUAAGAGAAAAAAGGCAAUAGCCAUGUACAAAUAAUCUCAGUACUGUAAGAGGAUGAGCCAGGAAGAUCUCAAGUUUGACCCCAACUUGGGCAUUCAGCCUCCUUUCCCACAAAAAAUGCUGUGCAUAUUCAAAGGUCCUGGAAUCAAUCCCCAGUAUCACCAGUACAAUUAAUUUUGAAAUAUCCAACCACUUUUUACACUUAUUAAGGAAAGAAAUACAAAUUAAAAUAAAAUAACAUCUUCUAUUGUUAAAAUAACUUUUUAAAGAGACUAUUAUCUGAAUCCUGUAAAGAUUGGUUUAAGACUUAUAGGAAUAUACAUUAAUGGUGGAAUACAUUUCUAUUUUAUGCCUUAACUGUAUUCUUUUUUGCUUUUUGUUUUGAGACAAGGCCUUACUACGUAGUUCAGGCUGACCUAGAGCGCAUGGUGACCCUUUUGCCUUAUCCUUCAGAGCGCUGAGAUAACAGGUGUAUGCCUGACUUGACUCUCCUUUCCAAUCAGAAGGAAUAUGAAAGUUUGACUCCUAUUUUAUUACAUUAUUAUUUAUAUUGGUGCUACAUAAUGAC
rnacentral:lncRNA from 1 species